CCCUGCGUCGCCGUUUAGUAACAUACGUAUGUACGAGAGGUUCUGUCGUCGUCGCUCGAGCAACACGUCAGGGAAGAGGGAAACAUGGGCCGCAAGAAGCAGUUGAAGGAAGGGACCAGCUCCGACCAAGUCCAGGACCCCAAACGGAAGGCGUCUGUCGACAUCAGCGGCAAUUUUGUGAGCCGUGGAGCCCUUCCACUGAUCCAAGACCUCGCCUCGGAGGAUGGAGCUUCCUGUCCCGUCGGACAAAUUGGAGGACGUACUGAAACUUGGUAUGACAGAAGAUGAGUUGGUGCAGGAGCUAACGAAGCCCCUGACCACAAAAAAGUCAGCGCUGCUGGAGUAGGCAACCGAGCGCGGUCCGUCGAGCCCUAGCCGAAUGCCAACACUGACGCUGUGCUUUUACCCUCACCUGCAAGGGAGAAAAACAGCCCAUGUCACCCGAUGGGCGUCAGGUAUCUCCAUCUUCAAGUGAUCGCACACGCACUCCCACCAGUUUUUGUAUAGAGUAAGUUGACAAAAGCAUAAUUUAACGGAAUCAAUAAGUACCGAACGCACCGUAUUUUGGCGUUUUGGCCCGAACGCCUCCUGAACCGUUUGGUUUCUAGCACAAUUCUUAUAGCGUGGAUAUCAGCCAUGUCAUGUUCUUUUUCGUUCCGUAGAACAACGACUCGUCCCGAACGCCUGUCGCUAUCUUAUCCUCUCCCAGUCCCUUCUCCACCGCUCACUCGCAUCCCACACACUCGCCUCGCGGAGAACUGUCUUGCGCCGGCGACGUCGGGAAGGAGCUAGGGGACGACGGAGACGAGGAGCUGGAAGAACGCCGUCUAGCAGCUCCACCGGACCCAACAUCGGGGGUGUCCCGCGGCGGAGACGAGGCGGGCUGCGCCAUCCUCGAGGCGUUGCGGCUUGCGGCCAUGGGAGAGGAGGCUGAGGAGGCCCCCUGUUUGUGCUCCGACGGAUCCUGGAUGGAGAGCCCGAGCGCUAGCGUGGAGAGGAACCGCCGGUUGUAGCGGUGGCGACGGAGAGGAGGCGUGGACGAAGGAGUUGUGAUGGAGGCGGCCGGGCCUAGGUGCGGCGGGGGCAGGCGGAGAGGAGGCCCGGCGAAGGAGCUGUGAUGGAGAUGGCCGCGCUUAGGUGCGGCGGGGGCGACAGAGAGGAGGCGCGGCGAAGGAGCUGCGCUGGAGAUUGCCGCAUUUAGGUGCGGCGGGUGUCGAGAUGCAGCCGGAGACCUACGCUGCAUGGUGGCACUGCUUCCGUCGGCGCUGGCCACGCACUUCCUGGUGGCCACCACGGAGCUCCACCUUGGCGUUCACGAGUUUGAACUGCGCAAGGACGGGGCGGCUCGCUGGACUAGCCAUGCCAUGUCUACUACCAAUGGCGCCCGAGCCGGCUGUCAACGAAGAAAUGGUGUCCUGAGGUAUGCCAUGUUUCUCAGUUGUUUUCAUACGAACUGUGCAUAGCUCUUGACCACGGAGAUUACAAGUUCGCGCAUCUACUAAGCGUGUGAGAAGCUCAUCUGGGUCUGGUAGAGUGUGGAGUUAAGGGCUUUCGACCAAGUUCAUGUCAAAAUGUUGGCAACACGUUCUAUAUUUCAAUGGCAAAUAUCAGAUGACAAGAUUUAGAAAUUGUUUGCCUUGCAUUUUUGAAAUAUAACCAAUUUGAAUCAAAAUCCAUGGCAAAUUUGCAUAGUUGGGCAGUGAAAUGUAAAGUUAACAAUUCUGGGAUUUUGUACAUUAUGCUAUAUUACAACAAUACAAAACAAAAAAUGUGCCAUCACUUCAGAUUUGUUUUGUAUGUAUAGGUGGGGAGGAAAACAUCCCAUAGCUGAUAUAUCGUUCAUUGACAAAAAUGAUAGUAAAAUGGUUUAUAGUCGUGACAAUUGCUAGACAUUAUUUAGUAUUGGUAUGAUGGCAAGUUAAAAUUUUAUUCUUAUAACAAAUUUUCAAGUUUUGCCACUCUACUGACUGAAAAUCAUUUGUUUUGUAUGAUCUGAACAAAACAGAGAUACAUACUAGUCUUCCAGGACAGAAUGGUAUUUUUUGUGUCCCUAGAUUUUGUUGUAGUGGUGAUAGGCUAUGAGUUUUGAGAAAAAAAUAAAUGAUUUGUGGCUGGAUUGAUCAGGCUGCUAUGUGUGCUGAAUCUGUAGUGGGGAAAGGGAUUUUUAGAGUUCGUGGUCAUCUUCGUUGUACAACAUCAGCGAUAAUUAAACUGAAAAAGGAUAUGGAGUAAUCAAAGCUUGAUUUUCAUUUAGAGAGAAUGAUUCAGGACUAAACAUGUAUGUACGAUACAUUUUUUCUUAAAUUUGCCGUCUCAUUGUACAAUAUUUUUAAAAUUUUCGUGGAAGAUGGGAAAUAUAGUUAUCAAAUGAUGGUAAAUUCAGUUCUCGGAUCAUGAAAAAAUCAUUGCUUUCUUGCCAUGGCAACUUUCGAUAUUGGAUCAUGGCACAAAUUUGCUGUUUUCUACCAUGGCAACUAAUCUUAUACUUUUUGCCAUGUAAACAUCAAAAAAUUAGUUGAUUGAUCAUGGCAAAAUUUAGUUUACGCAUCAUAGCAAACUUGCUUCCUGUAAGAUGGCAAACAUAGUUAUCGAAUCAUGGCAAAUUUAGUUCUCGAAUCAUGGCGAAUUCAUUGCUUUCUUGCCAUGGCAACUUUUGAUUUUUUAAAUUUUCGUGGCAAUUCUUUAAAUUGUCGAAAACAACAAAAAUGGCAAAUAUUGCCAUGGCAAGUUUUACUAAUUAUUUCACCUUCAUUAACAUGACAAAAUUACCUAAAUCCCCAUGGCAAUUUUAACAAUUUAUUGCCAUGGCAAGUUUUACUAUUUAUUUUCCAUGGCAAAUUUACCUUUAUUAACAUGGCAAAUUCACCUAAGUCCCCAUGGCAAUAUUUAACUUUUAUUGCCAUGGCAAGUUUUACUAUUUUUUGGACUUUUAUUAACAUGGCAAAUUUACCUAAAUCGCCAUGGCAAUAUUGAACUUUUAUUGCCAUGGCAAGUUUUACUAUUUUUUGGACUUUUAUUAACAUGGCAAAUUUACCUAAAUCGCCAUGGCAAUAUUGAACUUUUAUUGCCAUGGCAAGUUUUACUAUUUAUUUGCCAUGGAUAAUAUACCUUGGUUCAGGGUGUUGUGUAGUUGAUACUUGCAAAGUUCAUGGCAAUUUUAUCUAUGUCCUUGUUCAUAAACAAUAGCAAAUUUAUACUGUAUAAGGCUCUAUAUGACAAAAUUCAUGUGAUUUGCGGUUGCACCUUUUUAUUUGAAAAACAUGGCAAAUUUAAUAUGGCAAGAUAUGAUUUUCAGAAACAUGGCAAAGUUUAUAGAUGUUCAAAAACAUGGCAAACUUGCCAUGUCAACUUAGUAUGUUCAAAAACAUGGCAAACUUGCCAUGGCAAAUUAAGAUGUUCAAAAAACAUGGCAAGUUAAUAUGUACAAAAACAUGGCAGUUUUUGGGCCUACAAAUAUUGUAAUUUGUUUUUAA